UACGAAGGGGGCUAGCGUUGUUCGGAAUUACUGGGCGUAAAGCGCGCGCAGGCGGUCCUUUAAGUCAGGGGUGAAAGCCCAGAGCUCAACUCUGGAACUGCCUUUGAAACUAGAGGACUUGGGUACGGGAGAGGUGAGUGGAAUUCCGAGUGUAGAGGUGAAAUUCGUAGAUAUUCGGAGGAACACCAGUGGCGAAGGCGGCUCACUGGUCCAUUACUGACGCUGAGGUGCGAAAGCGUGGGGAGCAAACAGG
rnacentral:rRNA from 1 species